rnacentral:rRNA from 1 species
UACGUAGGGCGCAAGCGUUUGUCCGGAAUUAUUGGGCGUAAAGAGCUCGUAGGCGGCUUGUCACGUCGGGUGUGAAAGCCCGGGGCUUAACCCCGGGUCUGCAUUCGAUACGGGCAGGCUAGAGUGUGGUAGGGGAGAUCGGAAUUCCUGGUGUAGCGGUGAAAUGCGCAGAUAUCAGGAGGAACACCGAUGGCGAAGGCAGGUCUCUGGGCCACUACUGACGCUGAGAAGCGAAAGCAUGGGGAGCGAACAGG